rnacentral:tRNA from 1 species
GGGCUCGUGGCGCAGUGGUAGCGCGCCUGCUUUGCAAGCAGGAGGCCGUGGGUUCAAAUCCCAUCGAGUCCA